rnacentral:lncRNA from 1 species
ACUUUCAACUGAUGAAACAAAGAGCAGUUGAAAGCGACUAGAGCUCAAGUCUGACAAAUCACAUGGAUUGAAAAUCACAUGGAUCGAAUUACACUAAAAUAGACAUGGAAGCCUAAUUAGGAAAAUAAAGAAGAAGCAGAAACAUACUUAUCUCAUGCAAUGCAAUCUGGAUCAAAUCAAGAUGAUGGUCAAAGAUGAAG